rnacentral:lncRNA from 1 species
GGCGGUCCCAUUGCGGACAAUGAAGGGGGGGGGGGGCAGCGCUUUUUCUGCCCGCAAAACCCCGAAAACGCCGUUUUUUCACCGAAAAAAGACCCCAAAUCGCUCCGGAAUACCCCCCAAAAAUCCCUUUCGAGAGGAAUUGGGGUCCAAAAGACCCAAAACCGGCGGAAUUUACCCCAAAAAUCGGAGCGUUUCCCCUUCGGCGCCGCGCGGUGCUCCGCUCUGAGGAGACAAAAUGGCGGCGGCAAAAUGGCGGCAACAGCGCGUAGAUGGAAAAUGGGGUCGGGGUCGGACUUUGUCCCUGAGCUGCGUGGAAUGUUUACCCGCGGCCCUGCGCAAACAGCGCCGCUGAUUGGCUGCCGCCACCCGGAUGUCCCGCCCCCGCCGCUGAUUGGUUGAUCGCACCCCGGAAGUGUCGCCCCCCCCUCCGCCAUGGG